GCCGCCGGGAAUACUACAAAGCUAGGGAGUGGGAGAGGUAGACGGUACUCCGUAGGAAGGGGUAAAAUCCUUUGAUCUAUGGAUGACCACCAGUGGCGAAGGCGGUCUACCAGAACACGUUCGACGGUGAGGGAUGAAAGCUGGGGGAGCAAACCGGAUUAGAUACCCGGGUAGUCCCAGCUGUAAACUAUGCAAACUCAGUGAUGCAUUGGCUUGUGGCCAGUGCAGUGCCGCAGAGAAGUCGUUAAGUUUGCCGCCUGGGAAGUACGUACGCAAGUAUGAAACUUAAAGGAAUUGGCGGGGGAGCACCACAAGGGGUGAAGCCUGCGGUUCAAUUGGAGUCAACGCCAGAAAUCUUACCCGGAGAGACAGCAGAAUGAAGGUCAAGCUGAAGACUUUACCAGACAAGCUGAGAGGUGGUGCAUGGCCGUCGCCAGCUCGUGCCGUGAGAUGUCCUGUUAAGUCAGGUAACGAGCGAGAUCCUUGCCUCUAGUUGCCACCAUUACUCUCAGGAGUAGUGGGGCGAAUUAGCGGGACUGCCGUAGUUAAUACGGAGGAAGGAGAGGGCCACGGCAGGUCAG
rnacentral:rRNA from 1 species